UACGGGGGGGGCUAGCGUUAUUCGGAAUGAUUGGGCGUAAAGGGUCCGUAGGCAGCUUUUUAAGUCAGUUCUAUAACUUUGUGGGCUUAACCCGAAAAGUGAACUGAAACUUUAAAGAACUACGAGUUUGAGAGGGGAUAGUGGAAUUCCUAGUGUAAGGAUAAAAUCUCUAGAUAUUAGGAGGAACAUCAGAAGGCGAAGGCGACUAUCUGGCUCAAAACUGACGCUGAGGGACGAAAGUAUGGGUAUCAAAUGGG
rnacentral:rRNA from 1 species